GCAGGUGUGGUGGAAUUGGUAGACACGCUAGUAUCAGGAACUAGUGCCGCGAGGCUUGGGAGUUCGAGUCUCCCCACCUGUAC
rnacentral:tRNA from 1 species